rnacentral:rRNA from 1 species
GCAAGGGGAGCGGCAGACGGGAGAGUAACACGUGGGAACGUACCCUUUGGUUCGGAACAACCCAGGGAAACUUGGGCUAAUACCGAAUAAGCCCUUACGGGGAAAGAUUUAUCGCCGAAGGAUCGGCCCGCGUCUGAUUAGCUAGUUGGUGAGGUAACGGCUCACCAAGGCGACGAUCAAUAGCUGGUCUGAGAGGAUGAUCAGCCUCACUGGGACUGAGACACGGCCCAGACUCCUACGGGAGGCAGCAGUGGGGAAUAUUGGACAAUGGGCGCAAGCCUGAUCCAGCCAUGCCGCGUGGGUGAUGAAGGCCCUAGGG